AACGUCGCAUGGGAAACAAAAAUUUUCCUACGAGCACGAAGACCUAUCAUGGUGAUGUCCAUCUACGAGAGGGGAUGAGUGAUCUACGUACCCUUGUAGACCGUACAGCAGAAGCGUUAGUGAACGCGGUUGAUGUAAUGGAACGUCCUCACGUCCCUCGAUCCGCCCCGCGAACAAUCCCGCGAUCAGUCCCACGAUCUAGUACCGAACGGACGGCACCUCCGCGUUCAGCACACGUACAGCUCGACGAUGAUCUCGGCCUUCUUGAUCCAGCAAGAGAGACGGAGAGGUAGAAGAGUUCUCCGGCA
rnacentral:lncRNA from 1 species